GGGGGAGUAAUCCUAAUUGGUAAGGGACUUGCUUUGGGAGUAAGGAUUUGCGAGUUCGAGUCUCGCUUCCCCCA
rnacentral:tRNA from 1 species